AGCGAACGCUGGCGGCAUGCCUUACACAUGCAAGUCGAACGGCAGCGGACCUUCGGGUGCCGGCGAGUGGCGAACGGGUGAGUAAUGCAUCGGAACGUACCUUUCAGUGGGGGAUAACGUAGCGAAAGUUACGCUAAUACCGCAUAUUCUGUGAGCAGGAAAGCAGGGGAUCGCAAGACCUUGCGCUGAUUGAGCGGCCGAUGUCAGAUUAGCUAGUUGGUGAGGUAAAGGCUCACCAAGGCGACGAUCUGUAGCGGGUCUGAGAGGAUGAUCCGCCACACUGGAACUGAGACACGGUCCAGACUCCUACGGGAGGCAGCAGUGGGGAAUUUUGGACAAUGGGGGCAACCCUGAUCCAGCCAUGCCGCGUGAGUGAAGAAGGCCUUCGGGUUGUAAAGCUCUUUCGGCCGGGAAGAAAUCGCACGGGCUAAUACCCUGUGUGGAUGACGGUACCGGAAUAAGAAGCACCGGCUAACUACGUGCCAGCCGCCGCAGUAAAAC
rnacentral:rRNA from 1 species